AGAACCCUGAUGCAGCGACGCCGCGUGGAGGAAGAAGGUCUUCGGAUUGUAAACUCCUGUUGUUGAGGAAGAUAAUGACGGUACUCAACAAGGAAGUGACGGCUAACUACGUGCCAGCAGCCGCGGUAAAACGUAGGUCACAAGCGUUGUCCGGAAUUACUGGGUGUAAAGGGAGUGCAGGCGGGAAAGCAAGUUGGAAGUGAAAUCCAUGGGCUCAACCCAUGAACUGCUUUCAAAACUGUUUUUCUUGAGUAGUGCAGAGGUAGGCGGAAUUCCCGGUGUAGCGGUGGAAUGCGUAGAUAUCGGGAGGAACACCAGUGGCGAAGGCGGCCUACUGGGCACCAACUGACGCUGAGGCUCGAAAGUGUGGGUAGCAAACAGGAUUAGAUACCCUGGUAGUCCACACUGUAAACGAUGUAUACUAGUUGUUGCUGUGCUAGUCACGGCAGUAAUGCACCUAACGGAUUAAGUAUACCGCCUGGGGAGUACGGUCGCAAGAUUAAAACUCAAAGGAAUAGACGGGGACCCGCACAAGCGGUGGAGCAUGUGGUUUAAUUCGAAGAUACGCGAAGAACCUUACCUGGGCUUGAUAUCCAACUAAUCUCUUAGAGAUAAGAGAGUGCUAGCUUGCUAGAAAGUUGAGACAGGUGCUGCACGGCUGUCGUCAGCUCGUGUCGUGAGAUGUUGGGUUAAGUCCCGCAACGAGCGCAACCCACGUAUUUAGUUGCUAACAGUUCGGCUGAGCACUCUAAAUAGACUGCCUUCGCAAGGAGGAGGAAGGUGUGGACGACGUCAAGUCAUCAUGGCCCUUAUGCCCAGGGCGACACACGUGCUACAAUGGCAUAUACAAUGAGAUGCAAUAUCGCGAGAUGGAGCAAAUCUAUAAAAUAUGUCCCAGUUCGGAUUGGAGUCUGCAACUCGACUCCAUGAAGCCGGAAUCGCUAGUAAUCGUAGAUCAGCCAUGCUACGGUGAAUACGUUCCCGGGUCUUGUACUCACCGCCCGU
rnacentral:rRNA from 1 species